CCUACGGGAGGCAGCAGUGGGGGAUAUUGGACAAUGGGGGGAACCCUGAUCCAGCGACGCCGCGUGAGUGAAGAAGUAUUUCGGUAUGUAAAGCUCUGUCAGCAGGGAAGAAAGAAAUGACGGUACCUGACCAAGAAGCCCCGGCUAACUACGUGCCAGCAGCCGCGGUAAUACGUAGGGGGCAAGCGUUAUCCGGAAUGACUGGGUGUAAAGGGAGCUUAGACGGUUAAGUAAGUCUGGAGUGAAAGGCCGGGGCUCAACCCCGGGACUGCUCUGGAAACUAUUUAACUUGAGUGCAGGAGAGGUAAGCGGAAUUCGUAGUGUAGCGGUGAAAUGCGUAGAUAUUAGGAGGAACACCAGUGGCGAAGGCAGCUUACUAAACUGCCACUGACAUUGAUGCUCGAAAGUGUGGGUAUCAAACAGGAUUAGAUACCCGAGUAGUC
rnacentral:rRNA from 1 species